rnacentral:rRNA from 1 species
CAUGGGGCCGGCCGCCCGCGCGGAGCAAUCCGCGGCGGGGUCGUGUCCGGUUGCCUUUCCACUCGCCGUGGGGCGGGGCCGUUCCAGCGUGCGGUGGGCCGCACUUCUCCCCUAGUAGGACGUCGCGACCCGCUGGGUGCCGGCCUACGGCCCGGGUGCGCAGCCUGUCCAUCCGCGGGCCUCGGUUCGCGCUUGUUGGGCAGAGCCCCGGUGUCCCGGCUGGCUGCUCGGCGGCAUGUCUGGAGGAGUCGAUUCGCCAAACUCGGGGCGCCCGUGCUCCUGGCAAGCGCGCGCGGUUCUUCCCGGGUGACGGUCCUACCUGGCCCGGCCCCGGACCCGCGCCGCUGUUGGCUUUGGAUGCUCUCGGGCGGAAUAAUCGCUCCCGUCAGCGGCGCUUCAGCUUUGGACAAUUUCACGACCCGUCUUGAAACACGGACCAAGGAGUCUAACAUGUGCGCGAGUCAUUGGGCUGCACGAAACCUAGAGGCGAAAU